UACCCUGAGGGAACCAGACUGCCUAAAGGCUGCCUCUCUGAGCAUUGGCUGGAAAUAAUACUCUCAUCUUGAUAGGUUCUUGGACAUUCUUUAGACAACACCCAUAAAAAGUACAGAAUGUUCUUCAGUGCAUAGUGAGACUUCAUCUCAUCAGCCUACUGUACGUUGAAAAGUACCACAUUGCAGACUGUUGGGCACCAUCCAUGGAGCAUCAUUAAUUAGCAGCACACAUCAGGGCCCUGGCCUGUAGUUAAUAAUCUGUGGACCUACCUACUUCGCAAUUUCUAAGUAUAUGCUUUUAUCAGAAAGCACACUGUAGCUCAUGAAAAACAAAAAUGGGAUGCCUUAAACUCUUCUAAGAUUUCAUUUGCAAAUCCAAAAGAAGCACACUGCCAGCCGUUAGUCACUGAGAAGGAUUGGCAUAGCACCUCUGCUGUCAGCUCUCCAGCAUCACCUCUGCUGUCAGCUCUCCAGCAUCAGGCUUCAUGAUUUCAGGAACAGGAAAGCCAUGUGUCAUCACUUACCCAAGAGACACCUGGGUAUGUUCAUGCCAGGGCCUUCAGAGAUUUCUUGACAAUUUGCCCAAAGGUCAAUCGGCAAUGAAGAAAUCGUACGUUCCAAACAGCAUAUGGGGAGAAGGAUUUAAUGAAUAUUUACCCUGUGUUGUAAUUUGAUUUUAUGUACAUAUACAGUAGGAAAUCUGAUUCAGGAUGCAAAGUUAGUAAAAUGUAUAGUAGCCUUGAUACACACUUAAUAAUUGGAAAAGUUAGAAAAAGCCAAUGAAAACCUUAGAGUUUCUGACCCUGGCUAUAUACUUUGUAUAUAAUAAAAACUUCACAGCUUCU